CGCGUUGUGUGAAGAAGGCCUUCGGGUUGUAAAGCACUUUCAACAUGUAAGAAGUUAGUAUCUCUAAUAGAGAUAUCUAAUUGACUAAAUUUUGAAUAAGCACCGGCUAACUCUGUGCCAGCAGCCGCGGUAAUACAGAGGGUGCUAGCGUUAAUCGGACUGACUGGGCGUAAAGGGCGCGUAGGCGGAUAUGUAAGCGGUAUUUGAAAUACCCGGGCUUAACCUGGGGGAGAGAUAUCGAACUGCGUAUCUAGAGUAUAGGAGAGGUAAUUGGAAUUCUCGGUGUAGCGGUGAAAUGCGUAGAUAUCGAGAGGAACAUCAGUGGCGAAGGCGAAUUACUGGUUAUAUACUGACGCUGAGGCGCGAAAGCAUGGGGAUCAAACAGGAUUAGAUACCCUGGUAGUCCAUGCUGUAAACGAUGAAGACUA
rnacentral:rRNA from 1 species